CUUCUCGCUUUCCAUAUUCACCAUUUCCUUACAGUAAAGUAAGGUAAGGUAAGUAAGUAAGGUUCCUUAAGGUACAGUAAGUAAGGUUCCUUAAAGUAAAACACAGGGCUCGAUGUGAAUACUGAGAAAGAUAAUAUUCUUAAGAAAAUGAACUUAAUGAGAAAAACCACCAAAACUCACCACUAUCAUCAUCAUCUUCAAAACUCGAGAAAACUGAGAAAGACAACUUUCAUAAGAAACCUAACUUUAAGGUAAAAACCAUCAAAACUUACCACCAUCGUUGGACAUGUUGCUUCGAAGUGUGAUGCUCUAGGAACCAAAUCUUCGUUUUUUAAAGCUGACGCAUCCUCAUUAUCAUAUCACAUCCUCUCCUACUUUGUAUAAACGACUUUUAGCAACAAGAUGGUGGGCUGGAGAAAUCCACAUGUAGCAAAAAGUCUUUGUAGUAAACAACCAAUUGCAAACUAAGGAAAAACGCAACCAAUAGGGAAAGUAUGCACAUCCUCUCCAUCGGAUUCCUUUUCAAUAUCCUCCUCACAGUCGACGAUGGAAGCGCAGAAGUGCUACGCGGUCUCCGAGGACGAUUAUUCUGAUUGUCUCCUGACGGGGGAUCUUCCUCUUGUGAAGACAUUGAAGCCACCACCCAGAACUUUCUUUAUACAAUAUGAUGAGCAUCUGCGACGCUGUCGUUGUGGUGGAUUGUGGUCAUCGAAUCCAUCUCAUUGGCUAGACAAUAACAUCCGACCUUAUCUCGGUUGCCAUCCAAGCUCGGAUCAACCAUGAAGCCCAGUGAACAAUUUGCUUUGACGGUACAAUGGCUGAUGUACAAGGAUUUGAUGAAAUUAAACUCCUAUCUGAACUGCAACGGG